CUGAACAGACAGGCAAGAUGGAACACGCAUCCACACCCGACACACCCACAUCCUGUUUGAUCACCUGAUUAAGCUGAUAAAUACCCAACAGUACUCCCAAGUGAACAACACGUUAUGGAAAUUUUUGACAUAAACUGGUGUUCAAAGAUUAUCCUUUUCAGUAGAGUCACAUCUAGAACUUAUCCGGGCGUUUUAAUACAAACAUUUGCGGAGUUGGAGCGUGAUGAGGGAUAAUGAAGAUGAAAACCAACAUUUUGGCAUUAAAGUAAAAGUUGAGGAAAAUGUCAAAGAAAAAUGUGUCAUUAUAACAAUGAAGUACGGAAAAAAAACAAAAGAAAUUCAUAUUUCUACACUUAGCCUAAAGGAGAAAUUCUCGAAAGAGAAGAGAGCCUUAUUAGACUUUAUAGGUCCUUUUAAUGAAAAUACUGUAUUUAAAAAAAUUACUUUCCAAAAACCAAAUAACACAUUUGAAAGUAACUAUGUGAUUUACAUCACUAGUUUCUAUGAUUAUGUCAACGUAAUUGAGUAUUUCUGGAAAAAUAAGGAAAAAAUACAAAAUAUAACGGACCCAAUUUAUAUAAUAUCAGGGUGUUAUAUUUCUUUAAUAGAUAGGAAUGAUUUCUACAUUAAAACUGAGCUCAGAAUUAAUGAUAACGAUAUUGAACUUGCAAUUCAGGAAGGAAAACUUAAUGUAUCUGAUAUUGUAAUUAAAGGAAAACAUUUAAAUCAUGUCCCAUAUAGUACAUUAGAUAAUAAGGUAUCGAUGAACCUAGAUUUCUGUCUUGCUCUCACUGAUAUAAUCUUUGGAAAUCAAGAAAAACUUCUUUGUAUAAAUAAUCAUUUUAACAUCACUGCUUUAGUUGCGGUAUUAUUUUCAGAGGUAAUCAGAAAUCCAGAGAUGAUAUUUAUUAACCUAAUUGCAAUGACAAUGGAUUCCUUAAAUACUUGGAAAGACUUCCGCCAGAUUAUGCCACCUUUAGCUGGGGGAACCUGGGAAAAUAAACAGGAGUGCUGUCCCAAAUUUAUGAAACGACUAAACCUAUUUUUUUUCAAAAACAUUUUCUGAAACAUUUACUGAAAUAACUUCUCAUUAAUUUUCUUUCAUUAAUUUAAUUAACAAUGAAACAUGUAUCAUUAUGAUAAUGCAGUACGGUAGACAAAAUAAACAAAUUACUAUGAAUAUUACUAAACCAAACUUUAACCUGGAUUUCUCGAAAGACAGUUGUAAACUCAAAUUAGACUUCAUAGGUCCUUUUAAUGAAAAUACUGUAUUUAAAAAAAUAAUAAUCCUAAAACAAAAUAACAUCUUUCAAGAAAGUAACUAUGUGAUUUACAUUAAUAGUUUGUAUGAUUAUGUCAACGUAAUUGUGUAUUUCUGGAAAAAUAAGGAAAAAAUACAAAAUAUAACGGACCCGAUUUAUAUAAUAUCAGGGAGUCAUAUUUCUUUAAUAGAUAGGUAUGACUUCUAUAUUAAAACUGAGCUCAGAAUUAAUGAACACACUAUCCCGUAUGCUAUUCAGGGAGGCAAACUUAAUGUAUCUGAUAUUGUAAUUAAAGGAAAACAUUUAAAUCAUGUCCCAUAUAGUACAUUAGAUAAUAAGGUAUCGAUGAACCUAGAUUUCUGUCUUGCUCUCACUGAUAUAAUCUUUGGAAAUCAAGAAAAACUUCUUUGUAUAAAUAAUAGUUUUGACAUCACUGCUUUAGUUGCGGUAUUAUUUUCAGAGGUAAUCAGAAAUCCAGGGAUGAUAUUUAUUAACCUAAUUGCAAUGACAAUGGAUUCCUUAAAUACUUGGAAAGACUUCCGCCAGAUUAUGCCACCUUUAGUUGGGGGAACCUGGGAAAAUAAACAGGAGUACUGUUCCAAAUUUAUGAAACGACUAAACCUAUUUUUUUCAAAAACAUUUUCUGAAACAUUUUCUGAAAUUAUUUGAACAUGGAAAUUCUUUGAUUAAUUGAAUUUAUUUUAAAAAGUUGUCCUUCAUGGAAGGGGCGGGUGGUGGAGGGUCCAAAUAAAACAAAAUAAAACAUCCCAAAAUGUUAUAAAAUAUCAACAAAUUCAUCUUCAUUAUCCCCCACGUUGUUCCACCUCCGCUUCUGGGAGGAGCCAGGCGGGGCCACAGAGCGGACUCCCCCCAUCUCAUCCCACCAACUCUGUCAGUCCACCAGGCCCCACAAUGCAGCCUCCACACCACUGCAGUAACAGCCAUAUCUUCCCAUCACAAAGCUUCAGUACUGUCUCAAUGUGUUGAAGUACCAUCCAGGAUCCUGUGGCAACGUCAAUGUGAAACAGCAUUGACCCGUGAUCACCACCAACCAGGGCUCCACAGCGGUAUCCUUGGACACCCAGUGAAUCCAGAGAGAGCACACCAGGCAGCAUUGAGCACUUUGAUGAGAUUGGCUGUUCAGCAGGAAGAUUCAUCUGGCUACACAGAAGGGAUGAUGGCUCUGACCAAUAAAAUUCUAUUUUUGAAACUAUAUAACUGAAUAAACUAUGAUUUAACUAAAAACAUA